rnacentral:rRNA from 1 species
AGUCGAGCGUGAAAGCACCUUCGGGUGUGAGUAAAGCGGCGGACGGGUGAGUAACACGUAAUCAAGCUACCCACCAGACUGGGACAACAGUUGGAAACGACUGCUAAUACCGGAUGGCCCCAUAAGACCGCAUGGUCUAAUGGGUAAAGGAGGGGAUCCUUCGGGACCUUUCACUGGCGGAGGCGAUUGCGGUUUAUCAGCUAGUAGGUGAGGUAAUGGCUCACCAAGGCUACGACGGAUAGCAGGCCUGAGAGGGUGGCCUGUCACACUGGGACUGAGACACUGCCCAGACUCCUACGGGAGGCUGCAGUCGAGAAUCUUCCGCAAUGGACGAAAGUCUGACGGAGCGACGCCGCGUGGAGGACGAAGGCAUUAGUGUUGUAAACUCCUGUCACGGAUUAUGAAUGCGCGUAUGUUAAUAUCCUGCGCGUUGACGUAAGUCCGAGAGGAAGCACCGGCUAACUCUGUGCCAGCAGCCGCGGUAAUACAGAGGGUGCAAACGUUGUUCGGAAUCACUGGGCAUAAAGCGUACGUAGGCGGUUUGUUAAGUGUGAAGUGAAAGCCCACGGCUUACCCGUGGAACUGCUUUGCAUACUGGCAAACUCGAGGACGGUAGGGGAGAGCGGAACUCUUGGUGGAGCGGUGAAAUGCGUAGAUAUCAAGGGGAACACCGAUGGCGAAGGCAGCUCUCUGGUCCGUUUCUGACGCUGAGGUACGAAAGCUAGGGUAGCGAACGGGAUUAGAUACCCCGGUAGUCCUAGCUGUAAACGAUGAGCACUAGUUAAAGGCCCUUCUGUGGGGUCUUUGACGA